ACGCGGUAAAGUGAAACAUCUCAGUAACCGCAGGAAAAGAAAGAGAAUCGAUUCCGUAAGUAGCGGCGAGCGAAAGCGGAACAGCCCAAACCAGAAGGAUUUAUCCUUUUGGGGUUGUAGGACCAUAACAUGGGGAGCAACGGCUAGAAGAACACUCUGGAAAGAGUGACCAAAGAGGGUGACAGUCCCGUAAUCGAAAGCCCGCGCCGACCUAUUGGUAUCCUGAGUAGCACCGGACACGUGAAACCCGGUGUGAAUCUGCGCCGACCACGGCGUAAGGCUAAAUACAAUAUGACGACCGACAGUGAACUAGUACCGCGAGGGAAAGGUGAAAAGCACCCCUGUUAGGGGAGUGAAAUAGUAACUGAAACCGAUGGCUAACAAAUCAGUAGGAGCUCCCUUGUGGAGUGACUGCCUGCCUUUUGUAUAAUGAGUCUGCGAGUUAAUGUCCGUAGCAAGCCUAAGCCGCUCAGCGGUGGAGGCGCAGCGAAAGCGAGUCUGAAUAGGGCGCUCAGUUGCUGGCAUUAGACCCGAAGG
rnacentral:rRNA from 1 species